UUUGCUAGCUCUCAGUAAGUGCAAUGAUUU
rnacentral:piRNA from 1 species